GACGAACGCUGGCGGCGUGCCUAAUACAUGCCAGUCGAACGCUUCUUUCCUCCCGAGUGCUUGCACUCAAUUGGAAAGAGGAGUUGCGGACGGGUGAGUAACACGUGGGUAACCUACCCAUCAGAGGGGGAUAACACUUGGAAACAGGUGCUAAUACCGCAUAACAGUUUAUGCCGCAUGGCAUAAGAGUGAAAGGCGCUUUCGGGUGUCGUUGAUGGAUGGACCCGCGGUGCAUUAGCUAGUUGGUGAGGUAACGGCUCACCAAGGCAACGAUGCAUAGCCGACCUGAGAGGGUGAUCGGCCACACUGGGACUGAGACACGGCCCAGACUCCUACGGGAGGCAGCAGUAGGGAAUCUUCGGCAAUGGACGAAAGUCUGACCGAGCAACGCCGCGUGAGUGAAGAAGGUUUUCGGAUCGUAAAACUCUGUUGUUAGAGAAGAACAAGGACGUUAGUAACUGAACGUCCCCUGACGGUACCUAACCAGAAAGCCACGGCUAACUACGUG
rnacentral:rRNA from 1 species